UAGUUUUCUUGUUGCUAUGGCUAAAUAUAUGACAGACAGCAACUUUAGGGUACAGGUCAUAAUGGGGUGGGGCGUAUGAGUGGUCGUAGCAGGAACGUCACAUAGCAUCUGCUGUCAGAAGGAGGAGAGCAGUGAGCACACAGGACAUAAGCCAGGGCUCAAGGCUUCCAGUCCUGACUCCAGAGACCUGCUCCCUUCAAAGAAGCUUGCCUCUCUGAACCUCGAAGACUUGCCACCAGCUGGGGCCAAGUGACCCCGUGGAGCGCAUCGCGAUUAUAGAUGUGUGGAGCGUUCUGUUUGAGGCGAUAAGCACCACUCACAAGUAUCUCCGAAUGCGCCGAAGUUCGUCAGACACCGAGACUGGGAUAUCACUCUUCUUUUCCCCGCUGAGUUCCGAAGCCAUCCGGAUUCUUUCCGGAGUUCCGUGGAGGAGGACGGAGCUUCCAGAAACACCGAAGAACAUGGCUUCGCUGUGUGGCAACCAAAUGAGAGGACAGCCCCCACUCCGUCGCAGGCGGAGCUGGCACAUGGCAUCUCUCCCACCGGAACUUUUAUAACCUGGUGGUGGAGGAAAAGGUCAGAUAAAGACAGAUUACUCCAAGGAAAGUGCAAAAGGCAGGGAGACACGGAAGUCAGGCCCUCUUGCUAAGCAAUGACCGUGUGAUGGUCUGGAUAAAGCCGGGGACCAGUGACAUGAAUGGAGAUGAGCUGCCUGGUCUUCUCCUAGGCUUUGCUUCCUGGAAUUCUCUCUCCAUGGGCUUUUGAGAUGUGGGAGAAUAAGGCUUUUUCCCUAACAGUGCACUCACCGAGGUUUUAGUAAUAAGAAAUCUCUUAGCAAGAUUGUAGGGAGGCUUUCGUCAACUUUUCUACCUCCUACUCCACCCAGCCGAAGCCGCCAUCUGUGGGUGCUGCAUAUGACGCUGUCAUUUCUGCACCCACUCCUUCUCUCCCCAUCCUGUGGCCAGAAGACUUUUAAAAGUAAUUACUUAAAAAUUUGGAAUAUGUUUCCUCAUCCAUAAAUUACAGUACAGCGUCCAAACCCCUGGAUACAUGCAUGUUUUCUGAUCACCUCCUGCCAAUGUUUAGGGUGUUUGCUCUCUUUAUGGGGUCUCCUUCAGGCGGGAGCAUACACUGUCCUCAUUUGAACAGCAUAUCCCGACGGAAGGACAUGAGGAGACAGGAGCUAAUUGGAACUUUGCGAUUAGCUGUCAUGGAUGCCUGGGCGUGUCGAUACUGCUCAAUAAAGCCAAAAGGCCAAGUGUUUCCUCCUGCAUACUGAUUGCUCGACAGCACAGAGGAGCUUUCUAGACCGUCGGUUUCAGACUGAUGCUCUUGGCUCGGAAGUGGUUAAAAUCCCCAGCAGCCCUCUGAUAGUUCUGGAGAAUUCUUCAUUAUGGCUGCGAUAACGCUGUAAUAAUAGUUUUGCCCUCCAGUAUAUCAAGCGCCUCCCAGUCUCCUCAGUGCUUGCAUCAGUUAUAGUUGAUCAGCCAUCUUUCCCCGGUUAAAGGAUGUGGGACUCUCCCUCUCUCUCCUUACCCCUUUCACUCCACUGUCUCCCCAGCAAGCCCAGGCCUGAUUCUCCAUGUGAAUCAUCACAGUGAGCAGCAAGGAGGCCAUCUGGGAUUUGGGGCCACUCUGCUUUCUUCCUUCUCACACUCUGUUGUUUAAUUCUUUUUUUAAAAUAACAUUUUGUUUUAUUUUGUGGUGAUUGUGUGUGUGUGUGUGUGAGUGUGUAUGUGGUGUGGUGUGUGAGUGGUAAGUGAGUAUGUGUGUGUGUGGUGUGUGAGUAUGUGUGUGGUAUUUAAGUAUAUGUGUAUGCAUGUGUGUGUGGUAUGUGAGUGCAUGUGUGUAGUGUGUGAGUGUGUGUGUCCAUGUGUGUGUGAUGUGGUGUGUGAGUGUAUGAGUGUGCAUGUGUGUGUGUGUGUAAUGUAUGGUAUGUGUGAAUGUGUAUGUGUGGUAUAUGAAUGUAUGUUUGUGUAAAUGUGUGUGAUAUGUGAGUGGUGUGUGUGUGUGUGCAAGUGUGUGUGGUAUGAUGUGUGGUAUGUGCGUGCAUGUGUGUGUGGUGUAUGAGUGUAUGUGCGUGCAUGUGUGUGUGGUGUAUGAGUGUAUGUGUGUGCAUGUGUGUGUGGUGUAUGAAUGUAUGUUUGUGUAAAUGUGUGUGGUAUGUGAGUGGUGCGUGUGCAAGUGUGCGUGGUGUGAUGUGUGGUAUGUAUGUGCAUGUGUGGGUGGUGUGAUAUGUGAGUGGUAGGUGUGUGUGUGUGUGUGUGUGUGUGUGUGUGUGUGUGUGUGUAUACAGGAGUACACUUGCAGGAGAAAAGGAUGUGGGAUUCCAUGAAGCUGGAGUUAUAAGAGUUUGUGAAGUGCCCAAUGGGUGUUAGGAACCAAGUAUGAGUGCUCUGACCCACUGAGCCAUUUCCCCAGUACCUAUUGUUCAACAAUGUAUUCAGUCCAGAACGUUGCCUCUUUUCCCACUAAGCCCUUAUUUUGGCUAAUGUUGGUUGAAGUCUUCUUGUAACCAAGAGCCAAUGGAGUGCCAGCUUGCGCUGCUGCAUGCUGCUUUCAAACUUGUGGAGCUUUGUGGUCUAAUCCACCUACAAUGCUUGGUUUCAGCUGUCUUUACUUGGGUAACUUCUGUUUGUGUGCAUGCCUCAUCUCCCCAAAUAGAGUGUGGACUUCUUCAGACUGUUGGCCAUAUUCUAUCCAUCUGUAGACACCAUGCAGCACCUAGCAGUGCCUUCCACAAAGGAAGUGCAUGGCAGACAUUCCUUGAUUGAUUAUUCCAUUUUCUCCUAUUCACCCCCAACUGUUCCCAUCAUCUGAAGCAUCUCCUUGGAAGUGGCAGACUGCAGUCACCUUCACCUACUGCUGUGCUUCUCUGCUUGGAACAGAAGAAAGAGAAGGCAAGCUAAAUCCUUCUUUGAUAUCAAGGUCUUAGCCUCUAAUGCCUCAUGGCUGCGGGGACAACGGCUCCAUCAUUUCCUGAUCCAUGUGUCUACCCCUACCUUCCUACGAAGAACAAAUCCCUAGAGGGAAGGGGUCAGAUGUAGAAGGGGAAAUAGUCUUUCGAUUUGAUUAUACCAGAAUGAGUACUGACUAUUUCAGUGUGUGUUUACGACAAGCACAUUUUUAUUUGUACAAGGAAAGGAGAAUAGGAACUAGAUGGCCAUGGGUAUCACUUGGAACUCCUGAGUUGCAUGUGACGGAAACUCAAUUUAAAUUAACUAGCCAAAAAGGAAAUAUAUUGGUUCAUAGAAGCUUCCAGAUGGGUCGUGUGGAGAGGGCUUCAGUAGGAUCAGCCUAGUGUGGGUCACAUGUCUGCAUCUGAGGUGUUAAUGGUGCUAGUGGGUCUUAGGAAGGGAUUUAAGUUGGGGUGGGGAUAGGGUUGUGCUUACCAGGGCAAGGUCUACUAUGCAACAUUGAGAGCAUAGCUCAGGGGGUGGGGGGAUGAACUGUACUAGAGGUGUUUGGACCUAGAGCUCAGUACCUUUACUGGCUCAUGAGCUGUCUGUUGCUGAGGCAACAAGUCCUUUAGAGAACGCUUUCAGAAAGCUGUUUCUGCCUGGACUCCAUGCAUGUUCUCUCCCUUCCUGCUGCUCUGUGCUCAUGGUGGUUGCUUGUUCCAGAUCUCUGCAACGGCUUCUGGCUUUGUGCUUGUUUUCAUACCGAAAAACAAUGUCUUCAGAUUACCCUGGACCAGAUAAACUAUAACCACUGAGUCAUGCUUCCAGAGUUUGUCGUCUGGGCUCAGGUCAAACACUCAGAAAGCAAGUGACCUAAUUCAGAAUAGAAACUCUAGAAAUGGAUUGUCUGGGGAUAUGUGGAUAAUUAUUCACAUUUUGGAACCCAAACUACUUUCACACUGUAGUGAGGCCUCCUAAAGGUGGCAUGGUCUGGAGAGUUGUAUUUUGGACAGUACGCAUAUUCUCCUAGAGGUCUGAGAAGGUGUUUUAUGACACUGUCCCUUCCAUGGUGUUCAUUAUGGCUGAAUAGGGCCAGCCUUCCCCCAGAUGUUGUUGAUGCUUUUUUUUUUUUUUUUUUAGCCAGUUUCAUAGUGUUGAGCAGUGGUAACCUCUGUAGGAGAUGAUUGGCUCAUGGGGAUUGGGACAUCCUGAAUGGAUUAAUGUUCACCAGUGGGAGCGAGCUCUUGAAUGUGAGUCUACCCCUGGGAUUUUUGUGCUUGAAGACAUUACUUUGUCCCUCCGCUCUUCUCUGGUGCAAGGGAACAGCACUAAAUCCUCACAGCCCCUGCACUACCUCCCUGUGUUGGUUACCAUUGAAUCGCCUGGGAGACAGCCCCCUGGGUUAUCUUGAUUAGGCUGAUUGAUGCUGGAGAGUGGGUAACGCCAUUCUCCAAGCUUGGGUCCAGACUACACUCAAAGCAGAAAACUAGAUGUAUACUCUUUGUUUCCUGCCUCCUUGACUGGGGACACGGUGUGACCAGCUGCCUCAAGUCCCUACCACUGUGACUUCCAUGCUCUGAUGCCCUUGGAGCACACAACCCGCUCUUCCUAAGCUGAAUUUGUCAGGAAUUUUGUUCUGGCAGGAAACAAAGUUACUGAGCCUUUAAGACUGUGAGCAGAGCAGACUUCUUUCGUUUAUAAAUUACCCACUUUCUGACACUCAGUCAUGGCAUCCACAACAGCAGCCUGAGAUAGAUACUCAUGAGUGAUACAGUCUCAGAAGAGGAAGCUACCACUUCUGUGUGGCCUGCCUUCCCUCUAAAACCACCCAUGCUUUCUAUGUGGAUGCCCUCACGAAUGUAAGUACCUGAAACCCCAAACCACCUCCUGAAGUAGUGGCCACACUGUCAGCUCAGCAAGCUCUCACCCCAGGACCCCCGAUUUCUGUGGUGAACUAUGAGAAAGAAAUAAGAAGAAUCAGCUUUUCAGAUAAACUUUGCCUCUUUAAAAAAAAAAAACAAAAACAAAAACCACCAAGCCCCUAGUUUCACUGUAUAGUUAUUUUGAAUCCACUGAUAAUUUGAGCAAUUUUCCUGUAAGUCAUUCACAAGUGGUUCCCUCUAAUAUCGCACUCAGUUAUGCUCCCACAUAUCUGUCUGUUACUGAGAACUCUGCUUCUUGAGUGUAAAUGUUUGAUGUGCAUUAAGGCUCUUGACUUACAUAUGAAGGGGCAUUGAACAAUGUGACACAGAAGUAUUUGCCUUACGACUCUCGUGUCUGAAGAAUCCACUGGCUUGGGUGAAAUAGAGUGAUCUGUCAAUUUCUGUGCUCACUUCUAACAAGGAAGUCACUAUCAGCCAAGGAACAAAAAAAGGACUGUCUAUGCAAUUAAAAGAACAGGUUGGCUUUGCUCAAUACAGAAACAAAGAAACCAUGCAAGAGACACAAUGUUUCUUUAGUUAGGCGACUGAGAUUCUAUUGAAGACACUUUAUUUUUUGUUUAUGGUAGGAGCUAUCCUGGACUCAAGUGGGAAGUGCUGACUUCUGGCUUUUGCCCCUGUAUAGAGAAGUAGUUUUGCCAUAAACACUCAAAUGGUGCAGGUAUGGAUGGAACGCAGUGCUCCAGCUUGCUCUUAGCAUUCUGGACGGUGUUUAAUCUAGGAACUGCCUGUUCCAAGUCAUUAAAUGUUGUUCCAGACCCUAAAACUGGUAACUGUCCUGUCAUCUGAGAUCCAUUUAUCUGCAGGGAAUUAAAUAUUCAGUUUCAUGCCUUCUGGGACAAGAUCGGUCUUACCCCAAAGCUUCUUCAGAGAAAGAGUUUGGAUUCUUUGAAGAACAAUCCCUGUCUUUUAUCCAGCUCCAGUCAAUUGUUCAUUCUGUCCAUAGGCUCUGGGAGACCUUGCCGGCCAGAGGGGCAGCAUCCUUUUCUAUUUCUAGAAGAGGAGAGGAAAACCUUUGUGACAAGCCUGACCUCAUGGAGGCUCAUUAAUGCUCUAUAACUGUGAAGAACUUUCAAGAAAAAUACACACACAUGCGCAAACACAGACAGACACACACUACAGUCACUGUGGUACUUAGCCAUUAACAUCCAGUGCAAGCUGUUUCUCUGGAACGUUGAAUCUAGUGUCCUCUAUAGACAGUGAAUGCAAACGACUUAGAUUGUGAAAGUACAUUAGCUUUUGAUUAACCGCUGGAUGAGGGCCAGUAAAAUUUUUAAAUCUGAAUGAGUUUGCUGACUCGGGCUCCGGAGCAGCAUAAUGGACAACCUCAGAGCUUUCAUUAAAAGGGUUUCUGGUAACUGAUGUCUAGAGAAACGAGUUGACACACAAUUCCCC